rnacentral:misc_RNA from 1 species
AAAACUACAACACAAACUACUUUAGUUACACCUGUUUCUUUUUUUCUGAUCAAUGAUCAGACGGAACGAAGACCCUUCCCUCCCUGCUGCUAUCUACAGGUAUGGUAUGUCUAGAAAAAAAAAAAAACCUUAAAAUACUGAUUCUAUUACAUCAGUUCCAAUGGUCACUCAAAUUUCCAAAAAUGCAAUCAGUUUAGAUCAUAGAUUUGGACAGCCAAAUGCUUUGUUAAGGAGCCAAAAUCCUCCCCUAAUUGAAAAAAAAGGGGAGUUGAAGUACUUCUCUAGCAUUUUCACUACUACUACAACAAACUGAAAUCUAAUUAAUCAUACCAACUUGUUUAUCACCAAUUUUACAAUAUUCCAUCUGAAUAAAUAAAGAAAUGAACAGAUUCACAAUUCCAAACUAAUGAUGCUUAAAAACGAAGGUAACCAUAGCCAAAACGAAAUUAAACAAAUAUUCACAGCUUUUUGCAAAAAGAUAAUUUCCCUUGAUAACUCCAGUAUAAUUUUCCUUGAUAACUCCAGUAAGUUAUAGAUACAACAAUCAAAAUCCACCAAAAUUAAAAAAAUAAUAAAAAAAAAAAGAGCAGCAUCAAUAGAAAAAAGAAAGAAGGUAAUCCAAUGACAUUAAAGACAUGUACAAGGGCAGCUACAAGUGUAAAAACAGGGAAAAGGGAUAUGAACAAGUUCCACAUAAUAGUGAUUUACACCAGGGAUCGGUUUCGUGUAUAUACUUGUUUACCUUAAUUAUGAACAAGCUAACUAGUCAUAUUCAAGAUGAUGUCCUAGAGUGCAUGCUUUUUGCAUAUGAUGUUGUCUUAGUACAUGAAACUAGUGAAAAAGUUAAACCAAAUGUUGGAGUUGCGAAGAGUAAAGGUUUUAGGCCAAGUAAAAGUAAGAUGGAACAUAUGCAUUGCAAGUUUAACUCUCGUAGAAUGAAUAGGAGAGAGUUUGAUUGGAUGGAGUUUUGGUGUCAAAAUACAACCAAUUCAAAUAUUUAAGCUCUAUUAUCCAGAAUAACAGAGUAACAAAUGAGUAUGUAACUCAUAAGAUAAAAACAUGAUGGAUGAAAUGGAGAGGUGGAAGGGGUGUGCUAUGCAACCGUAGGAUUCUUGACAAAGUGAAAGGUAAGUUUUGUAGAAUCGUAGUCAUGCUAACUAUGUUGUAUGGAAGUGAAUGUUAGGAAUCUAAAGAACAGCAUAUUCACAAAAUAAGUGUAGCAAAAAUGUAAAUGUUAAGAUAAAUAUUAAGUAACACGAUAAUGAAUUAUUAUGAAUGACAAACGAGGAUAAAAUGAGAGUUGGUUGAUUAAGAUAGUUUGAUCAUAUCCAACGCAGAGCAUCGAAUGCCUCAGCACAAAAGUGUGAUGAGUUAGUAAUAAAAAAAUUGAAAAGGGAAAAAGAAAGACUUAAAAUGACACAGAAAGAGAUAGCAUCAAAAGAUUUAGAUAUUAAUGCAAAAUUGAUUUCAAACAGAAUUAAAUGACCAAAAAAGAUUUAUAUAGCCGAUCGCAACUAAUUUGGGAUUAAGAUUUAGUUGUUGUGACAAUGGGCAUACAUUUUGGAACAUCCUAAAAGGAUAGUGACCAACCAUUGUGGGACAAAGGGAGUAAAUAAUAUUUUUCUAUCAAUCUGAACCUUCAAUGUCUAUCCUGACAAUCUGAUCAAGUUCAUUGGGGCUCUUUACUUCAACUGGUGAGGAAACAAUGGAAGAGAUGUAUAUGUUUAUCUGAGAAAGAGACUCACCUGAUCAAUUGUACCAUUAGGAAACAGCGAGUAAAACAGAAUCCCAUCGCCUUGCCGAGGUUUCACUUUUAAACCAACACAUUUUUUGUAAUCAUAGACUGAACCUAUUUGUAAGCCAUUCUCAAAAGGGAACAUGGUUUCUCCACCUUCUUCUACAUCAGAUAAAUACAACAAGAAAGAAGCAACCCUUUGGCUUGUCUGCGGACCAUAUUCAGCUGGGUUAAAUGAAUCAUAAUGUGAAUCAUAUUUCUGUCCAAUUUC